rnacentral:rRNA from 1 species
GACGAACGUUGGCGGCGUGCUUAAUACAUGCGAGUCCACUGAAGCAGUGGUAGCAAUAUCGCUGUGGAGGUGGCGCACGGGUGAGUAACACGUAGGUAAUCUGCCUUCAGGUCUGGCAUAACUCCGGGAAACCGGGGCUAAUAGCAGAUGAUGCAGCGGCUCGACAUCGAGACAGUUGUUAAAGCUAUGGCGCCUGAAGAUGAGCCUGCGUCUGAUUAGCUAGUUGGCGGGGUAACGGCCCACCAAGGCAACGAUCAGUAGCUGGUCUGAGAGGAUGAUCAGCCACACUGGAGCUGAGACACGGUCCAGACUCCUACGGGAGGCAGCAGUAAGGAAUAUUGCUCAAUGGGAGAAAUCCUGAAGCAGCAACGCCGCGUGAGGGACGAAGGGCUUUUGCUUGUAAACCUCUGUAGUGAGAGAAAAAAAUCCCAAUCUUUGGGACAUGAUGGUAUCUCAAAAGUAAGCCCCGGCUAACUACGUG